rnacentral:lncRNA from 1 species
AGGGGUUAAGAAAACCUAAAUGAAUGGUUUAAUAGGUAUCUGUCCCCCGCAAAUUGUGAUUGUCACACCCUGGCCAAACUGAGGCCACAGGGAACUUCGUUCAGUGGAACUUGUGCCAAAGGUACUGCAAGGAGAAGGAAUAAGUAAGUAGGAGCCGUUGUUCACCCUCCAGCUCGCUUAUAGUUUACCAAUACCUGUGCCCUUAUGGCGAGUUCUCUGUGGUCAUUUGCAGUAGGGAAUAUA